AGAGUUUGAUCCUGGCUCAGGAUGAACGCUCGCGGCAGGCUUAAUACAUGCAAGUCGUGGGGCAGCAUGAGUGUAGCAAUACAUUUGAUGGCGACCGGCAAACGGGUGCGGAACACGUACAGAACCUUCCUUUAAGUGGGGAAUAGCCCAGGGAAACUUGGAUUAAUACCCCGUAAUAUAAUGAAGUGGCAUCACUUUAUUAUUAUAGCAGCAAUGCGCUUGAAGAUGGCUGUGCGGCUGAUUAGGUAGUUGGCGGGGUAAUGGCCCACCAAGCCUACGAUCAGUAACUGGUCUGAGAGGACGAUCAGCCACACGGGAACUGAGAAACGGUCCCGACUCCUACGGGGGGCAGCAGUGAGGAAUAUUGGGCAAUGGGCUAACGCCUGACCCAGCAACGCCGCGUGGAGGAUGAAGGUUUUUGGAUUGCAAACUCCUUUUGUGGGGGAAGAGCGAGGACGUACCCCAAGAAUAGUUCGU
rnacentral:rRNA from 1 species